rnacentral:tRNA from 1 species
GGUGGCUCAGUGGUAGAGCACUUGCUUUGCGUGCAUGAGGCCCUGGGUUAGAUUCCUUAGCACCA